rnacentral:lncRNA from 1 species
AUAUAAUUCAAAGAAAACAAAUAUAUACUCUUUAAUAUCUGAGCAAAGAGGUAAAACAGAAAUAUAAUGGAAAUGUAAGUACAUUUAAAGCAAGAAUCUUAUUCAUUGAAUAUCCCCUGUACCCAGAAUAUUACCUAGCAUAUAGUGGAUUCUGAACAAAUAUGUUAAAAUGUAAAAGAAAUUAAUGAUAUCUUCACUCUAUAUUAUAAAGAAAAUAAGUGAAGCCAGUUAAGAAAAUCUCAUUCAAAUGAAAAGAAUUGGUGGCUUCACUUCUACACACAAAGUUUUAGAGGCUUCAUUCUAUUAUUUCAUAUAUCCACACUUGUCCAAAAGUUUGAAGGACAUCAGAACACAAAGUGAAAAAUCUCAAAGCUAUUCCUCUCUUCAACAUUUUCUGUACUCCACAUCAAUCAGUCAUGUCCAGCUCUUUGCAACCCCAUGGACUAUAGUCUAACAGGCUCCUCUGUCCACGGGAUUUUCCAGACAAAAAUUCUGGAGUGGGUUGCCACUCGCUUCUCCAGAGGAUCUUCCUUACCUAGGGAUCGAAUCCAGAUCCCCUGCACUGCAGGCAGAUUCUUUACGGUCUCAACCACCAGCGAAGCCCAUACUCCACAUCACCAGUUCUCAAAUCGAAUUCAUCCUUCUAUUCAUUAGAACACAACAUUUUUUUGUUUUGUGCUAUCCUGUGUUACCAAGGCAACAGACAAAUAUGGAGGCAUAUGGCUGUAUAUCUUAUGAUUGCCUUCACAUCAAUAAGAUUUCACAUUAAAUAAUAUAUCAGUUUCUCAUACUGUUGAGGCAACUCCAGAGAACUGUGUGCUCAGUUGCUAUCAUGUCUGACUCUUCGGGACCCUAUGGACUGCAGCCUGCCAGGGUUCUCUGUCCAUCCAGGUAAGAAUACUUGAGUGGGUUGCCAUUUCUUCCACCAGAGGAUUGGCCUGACACAGGGAUCAAACUCAUGUCUCCUGCAUCUCUUGCAUUAGUAGAUGGAUUGUUCACUACUGAGCCUCCUGGGAAACCUAUACUAGGUGAAAAUUUUCUGAAUGAUUAAUUCCAGUACAGUUUACAUUGAAGAAAAAGAGGAGGUUUAAGGUACCUUUCCUUCAUAGUCAUCAGCCUUGUUUCUCUCUUUUUUCCCUACAACACAUUCAACCAGGUCUUGGCAGAUCAAGACAAACAUCUGCAAAAGCACAUGUCCAGAAGCUCAUUUCUCACAUGCAAAAGUUAACAGGCUUACCAAAACUGACAUAGAUAAAUCUUCAGUGCAGUUCAGUCACUCAGUCAUGCCCAACUCUUUGCGACCCCGUGAAUCGCAGCACACCAGGCCUCCCUGU